UACAGAGGAGCCAAGCGUUGUCCGGAUUGACUGGGCGUAAAGCGCACGCAGGCGGUUGCGCGCGUGGGGUGUGAAAUCUGGCCGCUUAACGGCCAGGCGCCAUCCCAUACGGCGCGACUGGAGUGAUGCAGAGGUCGAUGGAAUUGCCGGUGUAGUGGUGAAAUGCGUAGAGAUCGGCAGGAACACCCAGGGGGAAACCAGUCGACUGGGCAUCUACUGACGCUGAGGUGCGAGAGCGUGGGGAGCGAAUCGG
rnacentral:rRNA from 1 species